rnacentral:sRNA from 1 species
AAUCCUUAUUGUAAAUAAUUUCAGGUCUCCGGGCGGCAGCUACGUACCAGGAAUGUAUUGAGUGGUGUGGUGAUGACAUUCCCUGCAAAAUAGGCUGCAGCAUUCAUUAUCCUAAUAAAUAAAUAUACGGUACUUUGACUUUAAGACUAUUCUCACAGCUGAUGCCCUGGAAUAAAUUGUCUCGUCCUUCUGGAGAAACUUACUGACUGUACACAAAAUGCAAAUAUAUAUAUAAGCAAAUAAAAAAAUUAUAAAAUACUU